GACGAACGCUGGCGGCGUGCCUAACACAUGCAAGUCGAACGGAGAUUUGACUCAACACUGGGUACUUAGGAAUGAGUAUCGAGUGUUGAGAUAAAUCUUAGUGGCGGACGGGUGAGUAACGCGUGAGCAACCUGCCUUUCAGAGGGGGAUAACAACCGGAAACGGUUGCUAAUACCGCAUAAGAUCAUAGGAUGGCAUCAUCUGGUGAUCAAAGGAGCAAUCCGCUGAAAGAUGGGCUCGCGUCCGAUUAGCUAGAUGGGGGGGUAAUGGCCCACCAUGGCGACGAUCGGUAGCCGGACUGAGAGGUUGAACGGCCACAUUGGGACUGAGACACGGCCCAGACUCCUACGGGAGGCAGCAGUGGGGGAUAUUGCACAAUGGGCGAAAGCCUGAUGCAGCAACGCCGCGUGAGGGAAGAAGGUAUUCGUAUUGUAAACCUCUGUCUUUGGUGAAGAAAAAAAUGACGGUAGCCAAGGAGGAAGCCACGGCUAACUACGUGCCAGCAGCCGCCGUAAA
rnacentral:rRNA from 1 species